GAAGGUAUAGCUCAGUGGCAGAGUGUGCAUUUAGCAUGCAGGAGGUCCUGGGUUCAAUCCCCAGUACCUCUG
rnacentral:tRNA from 1 species